UCGAAGGAGAUGGUGCGAUAGCCACGGAU
rnacentral:sRNA from 1 species